GUCCUCACCAACAACAGCACAGCCUCCCAUAGACAAACCAGAUGGCUGGAUCAGUUGACCAUUGCCGAACAUAUCCUUCUUCACCUCCACAUGAACCCGGUCCUCACUGCAUUGAACAGCCACACUACUGGGAGUCACAGGUUUCCUCAACUGGAAGUUCACCGCCAACUCACGUUGCACCUCUGGAACGACGGGAAACUUCCAGGACAAAGGCUUGACUGGACCCUGCAACAGCUGCUUCUCCUGAAGACCAAGAGGCUCUUGCGCAAAUCCUCCGUAGCCAAGACUCUGGAACUGAGAAGCCUUUUGGAAAGGAUUCAAGAACCCUUGAGAA